AGUGAACGCUGGCGGCAGGCCUAAUACAUGCAAGUCGAACGGCAGCACAGCAGAGCUUGCUCUGUGGGUGGCGAGUGGCGGACGGGUGAGGAAUACAUGGGAAUCUGCCCAGUCGUGGGGGAUAACGUAUGGAAACGUACGCUAAUACCGCAUGCGCCCUAAGGGGGAAAGCCGGGGACCGCAAGGCCUGGCGCGAUUGGAUGAGCCCAUGUUCGAUUGGCUAGUUGGCGGGGUAAAGGCCCACCAAGGCGACGAUCGAUAGCUGGUCUGAGAGGAUGAUCAGCCACACUGGAACUGAGACACGGCCCAGACUCCUACGGGAGGCAGCAGUAGGGAAUAUUGGACAAUGGGGGCAACCCUGAUCCAGCCAUGCCGCGUGAGUGAAGAAGGCCCUCGGGUUGUAAAGCUCUUUUGUCCGGAAGAAAGCAUCUGGUUAAUACCCGGGUGUUCUGACGGUACCGGAAGAAUAAGCACCGGCUAACUUCGUGCC
rnacentral:rRNA from 1 species